GCAUACGGAAUACCUACAAGACACGCAAUCUAAGCUCCGCGAAUACACAUCUCGGACCAAGCCAUGCACUCAGCCGGAGCCAGGCGCUACACAGGUUUGGCCAUUGCAUGCACCACGCUACACUAGAGGCAUUACUAACGAGCGUGUAGGGGCGGGUGAUGAGGGCCUUAUCAUUCGAAACACGCUUCAUAUACUAAUCAUCUCCCUAGUUUUUUUUCCCUUUUUACUCCCACCAUCAUCGCCGCUUUUCCCCUAGCUUUCCCCUAAGUCUCCCCGCUUUAAUCUCCAGGUUCGUAUAUGACCAACCAAUAGACCUCGCCCCCUGAUGAGAAGUCUUGGUUGGCGUUAUAUGCCUUUAGUUCUACAUUUCGCAGAGCUCUUUGAAAUGACCUACACACUUUUGUCUUAUUGGUUUAUUUUGUUAUGUCCAUUUUGCAUAUACAUGCCGGUUGUUUUCUUCGUGCCUUUGCCUUUUCCCCUUAUCUCUUACCACCGAUUAUCGCUUCAUCUGGGGAAAACUAUCCUUCCUGUCUUGUUAACGUUUCAGCGUCAUCUCCACUCUCACCGCGCUCCCUUUGUCGCCUCCCGCGCCCCUACUUCAUCUUCUUCUCGCCGUUUUACUAGCAUCAUUUUCCAUUGUCCGCAAUACUUCCUUUCACCGCUACAGUAUUUUAUAUUUUUUCUCGGCGUUUUCGCAACACUCAUCCAAUCUCUAUUAUUAUUUAAUUUCGCCUGUCAAUCAUACCACUUACACACUUCAUUAGAUACAUACCUCCACACAUACCUCACCCUCUCCAUUACCGCUCACCAUUUCCUCUCUACAAUCUAAACACUUUUCUUUCUCUUACCCUACAUAUUACUUUCCUACCCUACACACAACACACUUUCUCAAAAACACUACACAGUCUCGUCACAAUAUCCCUGCUCAUCAUUCUGCUCACACUCGCAUUAUCCCCCUUCAUCAGAUUUCACUAAUGCCGCCAUCACCUCUUCACAUCCGCUACACAACACUCGCCACAAGUUACCGAUUUUAACUGUUUCAAUCUCCACAUAAUACCAUAUUUUUUACUAACUACCUUCUCCACUCAACCAAAAAAUACCCUUUAUUCAUAACUCUCAUGUCGUUUUAUUAUCAAUCCCAUCUCUUAUAACAACCUUAACUCGUCGUCUCAUAAUCCAUAAUCUUAACCACCCGAACAUAACUUGAUAACCCUAUCACCCCUUCCCCUUCCUUCACACAGCAACUUCACAAACAUAAACUAAGUUUCACCAUUCGCUACACAACCACCUCUCCACCUACUUAUCUCAACCUAUCACCAUCUUCAUCUUCUAUCACCGCCUUCCUAUAUACUACAAUACCACACUCACUCACUCUCUCAUAACGAUAUAUUAUCACCCACAUUUACACCAUAACCUCACAAAUUUUAAAUCGACCUCCGCACCACUACCAUUUUAACACACACAGA